rnacentral:rRNA from 1 species
AACGAACGCUGGCGGCAUGCCUAACACAUGCAAGUCGAACGAAGCCUUCGGGCUUAGUGGCGCACGGGUGCGUAACGCGUGGGAAUCUGCCCUCUGGUUCGGAAUAACAGUUGUAAACGACUGCUAAUACCGGAUGAUGACGAAAGUCCAAAGAUUUAUCGCCAGAGGAUGAGCCCGCGUAGGAUUAGCUAGUUGGUGUGGUAAAGGCGCACCAAGGCGACGAUCCUUAGCUGGUGUGAGAGGAUGAUCAGCCACACUGGGACUGAGACACGGCCCAGACUCCUACGGGAGGCAGCAGUGGGGAAUAUUGGACAAUGGGCGAAAGCCUGAUCCAGCAAUGCCGCGUGAGUGAUGAAGGCCCUAGGGUUGUAAAGCUCUUUUACCCGGGAUGAUAAUGACAGUACCGGGAGAAUAAGCCCCGGCUAACUCCGUGCCAGCAGCCGCCGUAA